AACGAACGCUGGCGGCAUGCCUAACACAUGCAAGUCGAACGAGAUCUUCGGGUCUAGUGGCGCACGGGUGCGUAACGCGUGGGAAUCUGCCCUUUGGUUCGGAAUAACAGUUGGAAACGACUGCUAAUACCGGAUGAUGACGAAAGUCCAAAGAUUUAUCGCCAGAGGAUGAGCCCGCGUAGGAUUAGCUAGUUGGUGUGGUAAAGGCGCACCAAGGCGACGAUCCUUAGCUGGUCUGAGAGGAUGAUCAGCCACACUGGGACUGAGACACGGCCCAGACUCCUACGGGAGGCAGCAGUGGGGAAUCUUGGACAAUGGGGGAAACCCUGAUCCAGCGAUGCCGCGUGUGUGAAGAAGGCCUUCGGGUCGUAAACCUCUUUUGCCUCGGCAUGAAGCUGAGGAGAAUAAGCAUCUACAAACUACGUGCCAGCAGCCGCGGUAA
rnacentral:rRNA from 1 species